rnacentral:rRNA from 1 species
ACGCUGAAGGUUGGUACUUGUACCGACUGGAUGAGCAGCGAACGGGUGAGUAACGCGUGGGGAAUCUGCCUUUGAGCGGGGGACAACAUUUGGAAACGAAUGCUAAUACCGCAUAACAACUUUAAACACAAGUUUUAAGUUUGAAAGAUGCAAUUGCAUCACUCAAAGAUGAUCCCGCGUUGUAUUAGCUAGUUGGUGAGGUAAAGGCUCACCAAGGCGAUGAUACAUAGCCGACCUGAGAGGGUGAUCGGCCACAUUGGGACUGAGACACGGCCCAAACUCCUACGGGAGGCAGCAGUAGGGAAUCUUCGGCAAUGGACGAAAGUCUGACCGAGCAACGCCGCGUGAGUGAAGAAGGUUUUCGGAUCGUAAAACUCUGUUGGUAGAGAAGAACGUUGGUGAGAGUGGAAAGCUCAUCAAGUGACGGUAACUACCCAGAAAGGGACGGCUAACUACGUGCCAGCAGCCGCGGUAAUACGUAGGUCCCGAGCGUUGUCCGGAUUUAUUGGGCGUAAAGCGAGCGCAGGUGGUUUAUUAAGUCUGGUGUAAAAGGCAGUGGCUCAACCAUUGUAUGCAUUGGAAACUGGUAGACUUGAGUGCAGGAGAGGAGAGUGGAAUUCCAUGUGUAGCGGUGAAAUGCGUAGAUAUAUGGAGGAACACCGGUGGCGAAAGCGGCUCUCUGGCCUGUAUCUGACACUGAGGCUCGAAAGCGUGGGGAGCAAACAGGAUUAGAUACCCUGGUAGUCCACGCCGUAAACGAUGAGUGCUAGAUGUAGGGAGCUAUAAUUUCUCUGUAUCGCAGCUAACGCAAUAAGCACUCCGCCUGGGGGAGUACGACCGCAAUGUUGAAACUCAAAGGAAUUGACGGGGGCCCGCACAAGCGGUGGAGCAUGUGGUUUAAUUCGAAGC